ACAGUGCUCAUUAAAUCUUAUUCUCGUCCUCAGACACGCCUAAUAAUUCUAUACAAAUAUUUCUCUUAGACACAAAAAAUAAUGAGAAAUCAAAUUAUGUCCGCUUCUCUUAUUGUUUUAUUUGUUGUUCUCUUUUUUGUUUCUGAUGGUGGGUUAGUAGAGGCACAAUAUCUAACUAAAUGUCAAGCAAAAAUACCCAUUGAUGUAUGCACUAUUCCGCAUUGUUCUUCAUUGUGUGAUCAGAAGUAUUCAAGUAACUUGGGGAUCGCAAGUGGUCAGUGCUUGAGUAGGACAGUCUGCAAUUGUAUUUACAAAAGCGUCAACCCAGAUUGUCAUGCCAAAGAUCAUUUGAUUUGAUACAAUUAUUAUUAUGCCUUCUGCAGCUUUUUAUGUAUUAUAAUAAAAAAUUCACUGCUCUAUACACCACAACCUUGUAUUAGAAGGAUUUAAUAAAAGAGCACAUGCAGAUUUAUUUUAAAA